rnacentral:rRNA from 1 species
UACGUAGGGGGCAAGCGUUGUUCGGAAUCAUUGGGCGUAAAGCGCACGUAGGCGGUCUGUUAUGUCGGAUGUGAAAGCCCUUGGCUCAACUGAGGAAGUGCAUCCGAAACUGGCAGGCUUGAGUACGAAAGAGGAUCGCGGAAUUCCCGGUGUAGAGGUGAAAUUCGUAGAUAUCGGGAGGAACACCGGUGGCGAAGGCGGCGACCUGGGUCGAUACUGACGCUGAGGUGCGAAAGCGUGGGGAGCAAACAGG